GACCUAUUUAAGGUCAAAGAAGGUAGUAUAUAGUUGAAUUUGAUUAUGCUUCAUAGAUCAGUACUAUUUCAUCUACUCAGUAUUUGCCUUCUGAAGACAGAGUUUUUAGAUAAGUUCAUUUCUGCUAGCUUGAUAUUACCUACCAUUAGUUAAUAGGCAUAUUGGAGUGUGUCUUGAAACAAGAUUUCUUUUGAGAUUCAUAACUAAAAUAGAAAUAAAAGAGAUCCUCCAGGAAAUUUCCAAAUCAUUUUGGAAUAUUUUGCAGAAUAUUUUGGGAUUUGUUUUGUAGUGAAAUGCAAAACCAUAUAGGUCCUAAGACGUUAUUUUAGAUAGUACCUAGUCCAAGUUAAAUAUCGUUGAAAAAGCAUAGCAAGGAAGUUGGAAUUCUCUUUUAGUCCUCUCAUCAAUUUUUCUGCUUAAACCUGAUUGAUACUAAUUUACAUAUAUUAGUAAUGCUUGCUGAUUUAAUUUUUUUUUAGCAGAAACAUCUAGGAUCUUAUGCUCAGGAAUAUCAGCAGCCAGCAAUAUCUAACUAGAAUUUAGUAAGAUUGCUUUGUUUUAUUGAAUGUGUUUUUCCACUUAAUGUGUAUUUAUGGCAAACAAUUUUGGUGUCUAGUCUAUGUGAUAAUACUGUAUUUCCUUUAAAACUAAAUUUAAUUUUAAAGAGGGAGAAUCAAUUGAAGGGUAUUCAGUAAAUAACAGUGAAAAUAUAGCAGUAAUUAUGAUGAUAAUAUGUGAAUGAUUAAAGUUUAAGAAAUACUGGUGUAGUUGAGAACUUUUAAUUCAGGCAUGGGCUCCAAUACUAUGA
rnacentral:lncRNA from 1 species